GACAGGGAGUCAAUGCUGAGACCAAGGUGUCUUUAUUUAGAGACAGGGAGUCAAUGCUGAGACCAAGGUGUCUUUAUUUAGAGACAGGGAGUCAAUGCUGAGACCAAGGUGUCUUUAUUUAGAGACAGGGAGUCAAUGCUGAGACCAAGGUGUCUUUAUUGAGACAGGGAGAGGUAGAGGUCAUGUGAUGUAAUUACACAGGCCGAUGCUGCAGGGAUGUAGAGGUCAUGUGAUGUAAUUACACAGGCCGAUGCUGCAGGGAUGUAGAGGUCAUGUGAUGUAAUUACACAGGCCGAUGCUGCAGGGAUGUAGAGGUCAUGUGAUGUAAUUACACAGGCCGAUGCUGCAGGGAUGUAAUGAGGUGGUGUAAUUACACAGGCCGAUGCUGCAGGGAUGUAGAGGUCAUGUGAUGUAAUUACACAGGCCGAUGCUGCAGGGAUGUAGAGGUCAUUUGAAGCAGCCUUUCUUCCAUCGCGUGUUUGGAACAAUGACAAAGACAUCGGCAACUUUGUAUUCUGUCGUCAACUCCGCUCUGAAGUGACCUGGCGGGCACCGUCAGGCAGAGAUCAACAUCUUGAUGUAUGUUCAGUGAGAUCUGAGUUUACAGUGUACAACAUCUAGCACUUAGCUGACAUUUGUUUGUUUUUUU
ensembl:lncRNA